rnacentral:rRNA from 1 species
GACAGAGGUGCCGAGCGUUAGGCGGAAUCACUGGGCUUAAAGCGUGUGUAGGCGGACCCGUAAGUACCUUGUGAAAUCCCACGGCUCAACCGUGGAACGGCUGGGUAUACUGCGGGUCUUGAGCAACCUAGGGGCAGACGGAACAAGUGGUGGAGCGGUGAAAUGCGUAGAUAUCACUUGGAACGCCGACGGUGAAAACAGUCUGCUGGGGGUUUGCUGACGCUGAGACACGAAAGCGUGGGGAGCAAACAGG